UACCCGCUGAGUUUAAGCAUAUCAAUAAGCGGAGGAAAAGA
rnacentral:rRNA from 8 species